rnacentral:misc_RNA from 1 species
GUUUGCUCAAAAACCUUCAGUUAAAAAAAUCAUCUAUAGGCUGUAAUGUUCGAUUACAGAAAUAUUAAAUUAGGAAAAUAUUCGAAUUCUCUUUUUCAUAAUUUCAUGAAGCUUGCCAAGUCAUUGUGCUAAUGGCCAGCACCUGAACCUGAACUUAGCUGAGAGAGGAAACCCUGAAUUAUAGCGUUGCAUAAUCUUUCAAAAUGAACAUUUGCUAAGUUAAAAGAUCACUUGCAGAAAUGAGAAUUGCCUCUCUCUCCAACCUAAGGAAGAAAAAUACCACGAUUGGAUAUCAUUUACCGGCAAACAAUUGCUGAACUGGAAGCAUUCAUCUCCAAAUCUGAUUAUGUAUGUUUCCAUUUGGCACUAGAUGGAAAUAUAAUCCGUCGUUCAACUUGGUCUGCUGCAAAAUCAAGUUGAUUCCCUUUCCAGUAGGGCUGUGCACGAUUCUUG